UACGUAGGGGCCUAGCGUUGUCCGGAAUUAUUGGGCGUAAAGAGCUCGUAGGCGGUUCGGCAAGUCGGAUGUGAAAUCUCCACGCUCAACGUGGAGGGGCCAUUCGAAACUGCCGUGACUCGAGUCCGGUAGGGGAGUGUGGAAUUCCCGGUGUAGCGGUGAAAUGCGCAGAUAUCAGGAAGAACACCCGUGGCUAAGGCGGCUCUCUAGUACGGUACUGACGCUGAGACGCGAAAGCGUGGGGAGCGAACAGG
rnacentral:rRNA from 1 species